UUCUAAGGGGACGUGACAUACUGCAGGAAAGCUUGUUUAAGUCUAAUAUUGGAAGUAAAUGACUCAAAAUAGUUUCAGGAAGUUCCUGAAAAUGAUCAGAUUUACUAGGGCCCUCCCUGUGAAUAAAGACUGUUGAGAAUCAGAAAGAGAAAAAAAAAAGCCCAAGCAAACAAACAAAAAACAAAACCUCUUAGACAAGCCCAGCUGCCGGGAAGGAGCAGAGGCCAGCAGAGCUGCCCGGAAGAUGCUCAGACCAGCUGAGGUGCCUGGAAAGGACACUCUCUAACCUGUUGAGCUGCUACAGGCUGUGGAGUGUGCUCCAGGUUCCCAGCUUUGUGAGCGGUCACCCACACUGAAACGGGCUUUGGCGAUGUAGCUGUCUUUGAGUCAUUUCUGUUCCUAUAAGCAAUCCCUCACCUAUAUUCCUAUAAGUAACCCCAGUCAAGUUCAUUGGCUCAUAAGUUGGACUUUGGUGGUAUCUGUACUUUGGGUGAGGAGACCUGUGUGCCACGUCUCCCCAGGGAUAGUCUGUAACCCAACCCCUAUCAAGCCCGUGGCGCAGCACCUUAUGAGCACUGUCCAAGAGCAACCGGCCUAUCACAGUCCUAGAAGGUAAAGGGGGGCGGCAGAGAACAUGAUAAAAACAGGUGGCUAAUGUAUUUAUUAAAGGCCAGUUUAAAACUCCUAAAAGAAGACAGAGGUGAACCAUAUGAUUUUACAGUGCUAACAAAAAAAAUCUUUUUUUUUCUUCCCCAGCUUGUAUUCAGAAUAGUCAGAGGCACAGAACCCAGAGAACAAAAUGCCAGCUUGUUACAGACAGGGCUGCUUGGGGAACAUAGCUUAGGCCGGCAGAGCUGAUCCCUGUGGUGCUGAAAACAGACAUCUAUAAGCCCAGCCCUCCCCUGAAGCUUGUCAGGGCUGUCUUCAGGGAGGAUUAGGAGUCCAUCCUGGAUUGGUCCGUGCCACAGGAAUCCUGAACCAGCAUGGAUCCAAAAUGGUCUUGUGUCUGCUUUCCCCCGGACUGUGUUACCUAUGUCAUGCUCUUACAAAUCAGCUGCCAGCAUCUGCCUCCAUCACAGAGGUCAAGCUUUCUUCAAGAUGACUUCCUGCCCGGCAGAAUUGUUGUGGAAGAUCAUUCUCUGAUCAAUACUGCUGCUAUCUUCGGGAGGGCUGGACCUGCUUACAAGGAAUUAUCAUAGGUCUCCCUUCUCUGCCUCACCAGGGCUUUGCCACACCCACCCGGCAGACCUCUGCUUCCCACUUCUGCACCCAUCCUGGCUAGGCUAUCCAGCUCCUGAUGGCACGGUGUUGGGUUUUGUGCUCUCUCUUGCCUGCAUCAGCCAGUUACCAGCUGUUCCUCCUCGUGAUGGAUUAAAGCUUUUCCCCAAUGCAUUGUUACAGUGGCUGUGCUUGUGGUUGCUGCUACUAAUCCUUUACCAUGCCCCAAUUUAAACUUCAG